UACGAAGGGUGCAAGCGUUACUCGGAAUUACUGGGCGUAAAGCGUGCGUAGGUGGUUCGUUAAGUCUGAUGUGAAAGCCCUGGGCUCAACCUGGGAAUGGCAUUGGAAACUGGCGACCUAGAGUGCGGUAGAGGGUAGUGGAAUUCCCGGUGUAGCAGUGAAAUGCGUAGAGAUCGGGAGGAACAUCCGUGGCGAAGGCGACUCUUUGGCCUGUAACUGACGCUGAGGCGCGAAAGCGUGGGGAGCAAACAGG
rnacentral:rRNA from 1 species